rnacentral:rRNA from 1 species
UACGAAGGGGGCUAGCGUUGCUCGGAAUCACUGGGCGUAAAGCGCACGUAGGCGGAUCUUUAAGUCAGGGGUGAAAUCCUGGAGCUCAACUCCAGAACUGCCUUUGAUACUGGGGAUCUCGAGUCCGGAAGAGGUGAGUGGAACUCCGAGUGUAGAGGUGAAAUUCGUAGAUAUUCGGAAGAACACCAGUGGCGAAGGCGGCUCACUGGUCCGGUACUGACGCUGAGGUGCGAAAGCGUGGGGAGCAACAGG